rnacentral:rRNA from 1 species
GCUUAAUGCAUGCAAGUCGAGCGAUGAGGCCUCUUCGGGGGGUACAUAGCGGCAGACGGGUGAGUACACGUAGGUGAUCUACCCCAGAGACGGGGAUAACGGGUGGAAGCAUCCGCUAAUACCGGAUAGGCUUGUUCGGUCAAAGGGACAAGGAAAGGCUCCGGCGCUCUGGGAGGAGCCUGCGGNCCAUCAGCUAGUUGGCGGGGUAACGGCCCACCAAGGCAAAGACGGGUAGGGGGUGUGAGAGCAUGGCCCCCCACAAUGGGACUGGAACACGGCCCAUACUCCUACGGGAGGCAGCAGCAGGGAAUAUUGCACAAUGGACGGAAGUCUGAUGCAGCGACGCCGCGUGGAUGAAGAAGGCCCUCGGGUUGUAAAAUCCUUUACAGGGGGAAGAGGAAGGACGGUACCCCUGGAACAAGUGUCGGCUAACUACGUGCCAGCAGCCGCGGUAAGACGUAGGACACAAGCGUUAUCCGGAUUUACUGGGCGUAAAGCGUCUGCAGGCGGACAGGUAAGUUGGGCGUGAAAGCUCCGGGCCCAACCCGGAGAGGUCGUUCAAUACUGCGUGUCUAGAGGGUGUCAGAGGGGAGUGGAAUUUCCGGAGUAGCGGUAAAAUGCGCAGAGAUCGGAAAGAACACCAAUGGCGAAGGCAGCUCCCUGGGGCAACCCUGACGCUAAGAGACGAAAGCUAGGGGAGCGAACAGGAUUAGAGACCCUGGUAGUCCUAGCCCUAAACGAUGGAUGCUGGAUGUGGGG